rnacentral:tRNA from 4 species
CGGAGCGUGGCGCAGCCCGGUUAGCGCACCGGUCUGGGGGACCGGGGGUCGGAGGUUCGAAUCCUCUCGCUCCGACCA